rnacentral:rRNA from 1 species
CCUACGGGAGGCAGCAGUGGGGAAUAUUGGACAAUGGGGGAAACCCUGAUCCAGCGACGCCGCGUGAGUGAAGAAGUAAUUCGGUAUGUAAAGCUCUAUCAGCAGGAAAGAAAAUGACGGUACCUGACUAAGAAGCCCCGGCUAACUACGUGCCAGCAGCCGCGGUAAUACGUAGGGGGCAAGCGUUAUCCGGAUUUACUGGGUGUAAAGGGAGCGUAGACGGCAGUGCAAGUCUGGAGUGAAAUGCCGGGGCCCAACCCCGGAACUGCUCUGGAAACUGUGAAGCUGGAGUGCAGGAGAGGUAAGUGGAAUUCCUAGUGUAGCGGUGAAAUGCGUAGAUAUCAGGAGGAACACCAGCGGCGAAGGCGGCUUACUGGACUGUAACUGACGUUGAGGCUCGAAAGCGUGGGGAGCAAACAGGAUUAGAUACCCGAGUAGUC